CCUACGGGAGGCAGCAGUGGGGAAUAUUGCACAAUGGGGGGAACCCUGAUGCAGCGACGCCACGUGGGUGAGGAAGUACUUCGGUAUGUAAAGCCCUAUCUGCAGGGAAGUACAUGAAGGUACCUGACUAAGAAGCCCCGGCCAACUACGUUACAGCAGCCGCGGUAAUACGUAGGGGGCAAGCGGUAUCCGGAUUGACUGGGGGUAAAGGGAUCGUAGGCGGCGUGCCAAGUCUGGUGUGAAAGGCCGUGGCUGAACCCCGGGACUGCAUUGGCUACUGGCAGGCUGGAGUGCCGGAGGGGCAGGCGGAAUUCCUGGUGUAGCGGUGAAAUGCGUAGAUAUUAGGAGGAACAACGGUGGCGAAGGCGGCUUGCUGGACGGUAACUGACGUUGAGGCUCGAAAGCGUGGGGAGCAAACAGGAUUAGAUACCCCGGUAGUC
rnacentral:rRNA from 1 species